rnacentral:rRNA from 1 species
GACGAACGCUGGCGGCGUGCCUAAUACAUGCAAGUAGAACGCUGAAGAGAGGAGCUUGCUCUUCUUGGAUGAGUUGCGAACGGGUGAGUAACGCGUAGGUAACCUGCCUUGUAGCGGGGGAUAACUAUUGGAAACGAUAGCUAAUACCGCAUAACAAUGGAUGACACAUGUCAUUUAUUUGAAAGGGGCAAUUGCUCCACUACAAGAUGGACCUGCGUUGUAUUAGCUAGUAGGUGAGGUAAUGGCUCACCUAGGCGUCGAUACAUAGCCGACCUGAGAGGGUGAUCGGCCACCCUGGGACUGAGACACGGCCCAGGCUCCUACGGGAGGCAGCAGUAGGGAAUCUUCGGCCAUGGGGGCAACCCUGACCGAGCAACGCCGCGUGAGUGAAGAAGGUUUUCGGAUCGUAAAGCUCUGUUGUAAGUCAAGAACGGGUGUGAGAGUGGAAAGUUCACACUGUGACGGUAGCUUACCAGAAAGGGACGGCUAACUACGUG